rnacentral:rRNA from 1 species
AGUGAACGCUGGCGGUAGGCCUAACACAUGCAAGUCGAACGGCAGCACAGUAAUAGCUUGCUCUUACGGGUGGCGAGUGGCGGACGGGUGAUGAAUACAUCGGAAUCUACUUUUUCGUUGGGGAUAACGUAGGGAAACUUACGCUAAUACCGCAUACGACCUCCGUGUGAAAGCAGGGGAUCUUCGGACCUUGCGCUAUUGAAUGAGCCGCUGUCGGGUUAGCUAGUUGGCGGGGUAAAGGCCCACCAAGGCGACGAUCCGUAGCUGGUCUGAGAGGAUGAUCAGCCACACUGGAACUGAGACACGGUACAGACUCCUACGGGAGGCAGCAGUGGGGAAUAUUGGACAAUGGGCGCAAGCCUGAUCCAGCCAUACCGCGUGGGUGAAGAAGGCCUUAGGGUUGUAAAGCGAUUUUGUUGGGAAAGAAAAGCAGCAGGUUAAUACCCCGCUGUUCUGACGGUACCCAAAGAAUAAGCACCGGCUAACUUCGUG